rnacentral:rRNA from 1 species
GAUGAACGCUGGCGGCGUGCCUAAUACAUGCAAGUCGAGCGAACGGACGAGAAGCUUGCUUCUCUGAUGUUAGCGGCGGACGGGUGAGUAACACGUGGAUAACCUACCUAUAAGACUGGGAUAACUUCGGGAAACCGUAGCUAAUACCGGAUAAUAUUUUGAACCGCAUGGUUCAAAAGUGAAAGACGGUCUUGCUGUCACUUAUAGAUGGAUCCGCGCUGCAUUAGCUAGUUGGUAAGGUAACGGCUUACCAAGGCAACGAUGCAUAGCCGACCUGAGAGGGUGAUCAGCCACACUGGAACUGAGACACGGUCCAGACUCCUACGGGAGGCAGCAGUAGGGAAUCUUGCGCAAUGGGCGAAAGCCUGACGGAGCAACGCCGCGUGAGUGAUGAAGGUCUUCGGAUCGUAAAGCUCUGUUAUUAGGGAAGAACAUAUGUGGAAGUAACUGUGCACAUCUUGACGGUACCUAAUCAGAAAGCAACGGCUAACUACGUG